CAAAUAUUGACUGCCUGCUGUCCCCCUGUUCCGGGUGCCAGGAGUAUAGUGGACACAAGACCCCUGCCCUUAGAGGCCUUACAUUGUAACAGGAGUGCUGGACAGAUGUGCCUGUCUGUCGCAGACUGAGGAGCGCCAGGAAGUCCAAAGCCAAGCCCAAUGGCAAGAAGCCUGCUGCGGAGGAGAGGAAAGCCUACCUGGAGCCUGAGCACACCAAGGCCAGGAUCACCGACUUCCAGUUCAAGGAGCUGGUGGUGCUGCCCCGCGAGAUUGACCUUAACGAGUGGCUGGCCAGCAACAGUGCGCGGGGGCCUGGGGGCGGGCCCCUUCCCUCCUCCCUGCUCCUCCUCGAAGCCCCUCCUCAAGGAGGACCCCCAUGGCUGGUGCUCAGCAGCCCCCUGCCGCGAGGGGAGAGUGUGGCCCGUGGACAGGCGGAGCUCACCCAG
rnacentral:sRNA from 1 species